UACGUAGGGAGCAAGCGUUGUCCGGAAUCAUUGGGCGUAAAGCGCGUGUAGGCGGUUCGGUAAGUCCGCUGUGAAAGUCGGGGGCUCAACCCUCGAAAGCCGGUGGAUACUGUCGGACUAGAGUGCGGAAGAGGCGAGUGGAAUUCCUGGUGUAGCGGUGAAAUGCGCAGAUAUCAGGAGGAACACCGGUGGCGAAGGCGGGUCUCUGGGCCGAUACUGACGCUGAGGAGCGAAAGCGUGGGGAGCGAACAGG
rnacentral:rRNA from 1 species